UACGUAGGGACCGAGCGUUGUCCGGAAUCAUUGGGCGUAAAGAGCGUGUAGGCGGCCCCUUAAGUCCUGCGUGAAAUCCUGUGGCUCAACCGCAGACGGUCGUGGGAAACUGGAGGGCUAGAGUGCGGGAGAGGAGAGUGGAAUUCCCGGUGCAGCGGUGAAAUGCGCAGAUAUCGGGAAGAACACCCGUGGCGAAGGCGGCUCUCUGGAACGCAACUGACGCUGAGACGCGAAAGCGUGGGGAGCAAACAGG
rnacentral:rRNA from 1 species